AACCUCUUCUGUACUGCUGUUCACGGGACAUGGAAAUACAAUGUCAGCAAGGCCACGGCAGGAUGCACUCCCUUGGCGAAGUAAUCUUGAUGCUGUUUCACGGUCCACUCUGCAAUUACCAGAAGACAUAUCCAAACCAGAGACGUAGAAGUGACGGCCCAGAAUUGCAUGGAAUGGCGCAGGAGACGUUGCCUUGAUGCAGACCACUUGACACAACGAUGAAGAGACAUUAUCAAGUAUCAAGUAAGUCAGCAUGAUUAUCUUACGGUUAUCUGACGGUUUUUUUUUUGCGAGUUACUGUGUGAAGGAAAGACAAAGUUAUGUUUUAGAUAAUUGAUGUGACGUGUCAUAAAAGCGCGACUUGAGCCCCUAACGUUUUUCUGCAUCAAAAACCAGGAUCAUCCCCAGUCCAUUCUACUCCACAGCUGCAUAACAGUCGAGCCUAACGAUU